GGCUGCUCCUCCCUCCUUGGCGGUUCCGACUGUGACAGGGCCCUAGGCCGACCUUCUCUUCCUUCAGGUUGGCGUCGAAUAAACCUGUCGAGCCGACCUCGUCUGAUGAGCUCCUCGAUCUCAUCUCAGAGCUCAAUACAUUCCUCCAUAUCAUGGCCGUGGUCACGAUGAUAGAGGCAGAAUUUGUUCGGGUUGUACUUUUCAAGGUGCGAGCGCAUCCUC
rnacentral:lncRNA from 1 species